GAUGAACGCUGGCGGCGUGCUUAACACAUGCAAGUCGAACGAUGAAGCCCAGCUUGCUGGGUGGAUUAGUGGCGAACGGGUGAGUAACACGUGAGUAACCUGCCCUUAACUCUGGGAUAAGCCUGGGAAACUGGGUCUAAUACCGGAUAGGAGCGUCCACCGCAUGGUGGGUGUUGGAAAGAUUUAUCGGUUUUGGAUGGACUCGCGGCCUAUCAGCUUGUUUGUGAGGUAAUGGCUCACCAAGGCGACGAAGGGUAGCCGGCCUGAGAGGGUGACCGGCCACACUGCGACUGAGACGCGGCCCAGACUCCUACGGGAGGCAGCAGUGGGGAAUAUUGCACUAUGGGCGCAAGCAUGAUGCAGCGACGCCGCGUGAGGGAUGACGGCCUUCGGGUUGUAAACCUCUUUCAGUAGGGAAGAAGCGAAAGUGACGGUACCUGCAGAAGAAGCACCGGCUAACUACGUG
rnacentral:rRNA from 1 species